rnacentral:rRNA from 1 species
CAGUCGACGAGCGAGAGAGAGCUUGCUUUCUCGAGCGAGUGGCGAACGGGUGAGUAACGCGUGAGGAACCUGCCUCAAAGAGGGGGACAACAGUUGGAAACGACUGCUAAUACCGCAUAAGCCCACGGUGCCGCAUGGUACAGAGGGAAAAGGAGCAAUCCGCUUUGAGAUGGCCUCGCGUCCGAUUAGCUAGUUGGUGAGGUAAUGGCCCACCAAGGCAACGAUCGGUAGCCGGACUGAGAGGUUGAACGGCCACAUUGGGACUGAGACACGGCCCAGACUCCUACGGGAGGCAGCAGUGGGGAAUAUUGCACAAUGGGGGAAACCCUGAUGCAGCGACGCCGCGUGGAGGAAGAAGGUCUUCGGAUUGUAAACUCCUGUUGUUGGGGAAGAUAAUGACGGUACCCAACAAGGAAGUGACGGCUAACUACGUGCCAGCAGCCGCGGUAAAACGUAGGUCACAAGCGUUGUCCGGAAUUACUGGGUGUAAAGGGAGCGCAGGCGGGAAGACAAGUUGGAAGUGAAAUCUAUGGGCUCAACCCAUAAACUGCUUUCAAAACUGUUUUUCUUGAGUAGUGCAGAGGUAGGCGGAAUUCCCGGUGUAGCGGUGGAAUGCGUAGAUAUCGGGAGGAACACCAGUGGCGAAGGCGGCCUACUGGGCACCAACUGACGCUGAGGCUCGAAAGUGUGGGUAGCAAACAGGAUUAGAUACCCUGGUAGUCCACACCGUAAACGAUGAUUACUAGGUGUUGGAGGAUUGACCCCUUCAGUGCCGCAGUUAACACAAUAAGUAAUCCACC